rnacentral:rRNA from 1 species
CCCUUAGAUGUUCUGGGCGACACGCGCGCUACAAUGACAAGCUCAACGAGUUUUUUCCUUGCCCGGAAGGGUUUGGGUAAUCUUUGCAAUACUUGUCAUGAUGGGGAUAGAUUUUUGUAAUUAUUAAUCUUCAACGAGGAAUUUCUAGUAAUUGCACGUCAUCAGCGUGCGAUGAAUGCGUCCCUGCGUUUUGUACACACCGCCCGUCGCAUCUACCGAUUGAAUGUUUUGAUGAGUUGUUUGGAGAUGCUUUUCUUUGCUUUCGGGCUUGAAGAGCGUUGAAAUUCUGCGAAUCCCAACAUUUAGAGGAAGAUGAAGUCGUAACA